UGACCUGUUUGGCUGGGAAGACCAUCAGUUCCGUUUUGGCCAGGUUCAGCUGAAGGUGGUGAUUUUUCAUCCAUGUGGAUAUAUCAGCGAGACAGUCCGAAAUCCGCGUCGAGACCGUGGUGUCCUCAGGAGGGAAAGACAGAAACAGUUGAGUAUCAUCGGCAUAACAGUGGUAGGAAAAACCAUGCGAGCGGAUGAUAGGGCCCAACGAGGUGGUGUAAAUGGCAAAGAGAAGUGGUCCCAUCACCGAGCCUUGGGGCACCCCAGUGGUGAGGCGGUGAGGUACAGACAGCUGACCUUGCCAUGACACGUUGAACGAGCGCCCAGUGAGGUAGGAUUCAAACCAGGAAUGCGCAUUGCCAGAAAUGAGGUGACUGGGAUGAUCAGAGCUCAGGAGAAGGCUGAGGUGAGUCGGGCUGAAUGACUCGUGAAGCGAAUGGAGGAGGAGAUUGCUGAGCUGAAGAGCAGAGAUGCUGAGCUGGAGCAACUUUCAAACACGGAGGAUCACAUCCAUUUCCUCAAGGUAAAUAGUGAUGCAUUGUUAGUUAAACUGUUUGAUGGUAGAAUCUGGUUUGGAUGCUGUACUGUCCUCAUUAGGACUAUUGUUUUCAGUUGUUUGUAAAGGGUCUCUUGUGAGUUGAAUUUUCAUUUAUAGAAUUUGUUUUGAUGCCACAUCUCAAUAAAACCAGACUCCACACACAAAUAUUUUAAUUUCCACACCAUGUUGUCUUGACUUACAUCAAGCAAAUUUACUGUAAAUUCAGUUUGUUUUCAGUUAUCAGGUAUUCAGGUUUCAGUCUUGUGUUUCUUUAGACUUUCCAGUCCGCCAUUGACCCACCUCAGUUUAAAGACUUAUCCAACAUCACUAUCAACCAAGGCCUCUCUUUUGAGGCUGUGAAGAAAUCUGUCUCCAAACUGAAGACGCAGCUGGAGGACUUCUGCAGGAAGGAAGUCAUGAUGAUAUCUGCAGCAGUGUCUGAAGUUCAGGCUGUUUGUCCUGAACCAGUGACCAGACAGGAGUCCUUUUCAGGCAUGGGCAGCGCAUUCACCCUGCCAGGGUUUGGUCAGCAGGCCAGCGGCACCAGCCUAUUCGGACAGCCCAGCGUCACCAGCCUAUUCGGACAGCCCAGCGUCACCAGCCUAUUCGGACAGGCCAACGGCGCCUCCACAAUGGGAACGGCCAGCGGCACCAGCCUAUUUGGACAGGCCAGCGGCGCCUCCACAUUGGGAACGGGCUUUCUGUACCAGGCUCCAUCCAGUGGCGGUCAGCUUGGCUCUGGAUCGGCAGGCUCAGGCUUUGGCUUUGGAGCCAACACGGGUGUGCAGUCCGGCCAGCCCAACCAAGCAGGUGACCAGUGUGUGUGUGUGUGUUUGUGUGUCUGA
rnacentral:lncRNA from 1 species